UGCAUGGUGCCACAGCGGUAAGGAGUAGGGCUCAUAACCGAAAGGUUGCGGGUUCAAUUCCCUGCUGGGGAA